rnacentral:lncRNA from 1 species
CGCUGCCUCCCCCAGCCCACCCCGGUGUCUUUGCUCCUGCUGCCUGCUUCCCUUGGAACACCCUUUCCAGGAACUCAAAUUGGGUCUUUGGAACCGGACGGAGUUUCUCCUCCCCCUCCUCCCCUCCCCCUCCUGCCCCUCCCCCACCCCUGCCCCUCCUCCCCUCCCCCACCCCUGCCCCUCCUCCUUCUCGGUGGGGCUUCUCCUCUCACUGAGCUGUUUCCUCUGCCCUUAUCUCCGUAGCCGGGUGAAGCUAGAGUUAUCUGGGUCCGUUGGAAUCUCACAGGGAGCGAACAGCCACCCCCACUCAGGCCCCGCCCCCGGCCCAUUCACUCGGAAUCUGUGGGGCGGAGCUGUCUACGGGCUCCCUGGGCUGAGCCCGCCUGUCUGCUGGCGGGAAGCCAGAGGUCCGGGCUGAGGUCCCUGUGCCACAGGUUCUCAGCACGAUGCCUUACUGCGCGAGCCCAAACUUGUGUGCCUCAGCUUCCUUGUCGGCUUCGAGGGGAUAAAGAUGCCUGUCCUGGGCUGGCCUGGGGUUGGGUGGUGCCCCUGCAUCCCCAAGUGGAUGGUGAGCCAGAGGGCAGGAGCCACAGCUUCCUCGGUGCUGCGUGCAGAAGGGGAAGAAGGGCAGCCGGUGGGAACCGGGACCCAGGCGGAGAGGAAGGCCAGGUGUCUCCACUUAUCAUAAGAGUCUCCAGCGUACAGUUCUCGGUACAGUUCUCCAGAGUAAGCAGUUGGAGAAGCUUUUCCUUCACCUUCAGCACCCAGAACCACCUGAUCUUUGCUCAGCUAGACCCACUG